UACGAAGGGGGCUAGCGUUGCUCGGAAUUACUGGGCGUAAAGCGCACGUAGGCGGUCUUUUAAGUCGGGGGUGAAAUCCUGGAGCUCAACUCCAGAACUGCCUUCGAUACUGGAAGACUUGAGUCCGGAAGAGGUGAGUGGAACUGCGAGUGUAGAGGUGAAAUUCGUAGAUAUUCGCAAGAACACCAAUGGCGAAGGCAGCUCGCUGGGACGGUACUGACGCUGAGACGCGAAAGCGUGGGGAGCAAACAGG
rnacentral:rRNA from 1 species